GACGGGGGGGCAAGUGUUCUUCGGAAUGACUGGGCGUAAAGGGCACUUAGGCGGUGAAUCGGGUUGAAAGUGAAAGUCGCCAAAAACUGGCGGAAUGCUCUCGAAACCAAUUAACUUGAGUGAGACAGAGGAGAGUGGAAUUUCGUGUGUAGGGGUGAAAUCCGGAGAUCUACGAAGGAACGCCAAAAGCGAAGGCAGCUCUCUGGGACGGUACUGACGCUGAGACGCGAAAGCGUGGGGAGCGAACAGG
rnacentral:rRNA from 1 species